GACGAACGCUGGCGGCGUGCUUAACACAUGCAAGUCGAACGAAGUGGCGAACGGGUGAGUAACGCGUAAUUAACCUGCCCUUCAGAGGGGGACAACAGUUGGAAACGACUGCUAAUACCGCAUACUGAAGGAGGGGAUUGCGUCUGAUUAGCUAGUUGGAGGGGUAACGGCCCACCAAGGCGAUGAUCAGUAGCCGGGCUGGGAGGAUGAACGGCCACAAUUGGACUGGGACACGGCCCAGACUCCUACCGGAGGGAGCAGUUGGGGAUCUUCCCAAAUGGAGGAAAGUCUGGCGGAGCAACGCCGCGGGAGUGAUGACGGCCUUCGGGUUGUAAAGCUCUGUUAAUCGGGACGCGGUACCGGAAUAGAAAGCCACGGCUAACUACGUGCCAGCAGCCGCGGUAAUUC
rnacentral:rRNA from 1 species